AGUCAAUAGAUACCCAGGUAGUCCAUGCCGUAAACGAUGAUUGCUAGGUGUGGGGGGUCUGACCCCUUCCGUGCCGGAGUUAAACACAAUAAGCAAUCCACCUGGGGAGUACGGCCGCAAGGUUGAAACUCAAAGGAAUUGACGGGGGCCCGCACAAGCAGUGGAGUAUGUGGUUUAAAUUCGAAGCAACGCGAAGAACCUUACCAGGUCUUGACAUCCACCGAAUCCUGUAGAGAUACGGGAGUGCCCUUCGGGGAACGGUGAGACAGGUGGUGCAUGGUUGUCGUCAGCUCGUGUCGUGAGAUGUUGGGUUAAGUCCCGCAACGAGCGCAACCCUUGUGAAUAGUUGCUACGAAAGAGCACUCUAUUCAGACCGCCGUUGACAAAACGGAGGAAGGUGGGGAUGACGUCAAAUCAUCAUGCCCCUUAUGACCUGGGCUACACACGUACUACAAUGGCCGUUAACAGAGGGAUGCAAUGCCGCGAGGUGAGCGAACCCCUAAAAACGGUCUCAGUUCAGAUUGCAGGCUGAAACUCGCCUGC
rnacentral:rRNA from 1 species